rnacentral:rRNA from 1 species
GACGAACGCUGGCGGCGUGCCUAAUACAUGCAAGUAGAACGAGUUGCGAACGGGUGAGUAACGCGUGGUAACCUGCCUCAUAGCGGGGGAUAACUAUUGGAAACGAUAGCUAAUACCGCAUACCCUCGGAUGUGCCCAGAGGGGAUUAGAUAGUAGGUGGGGUAACGGCUCACCUAGGAGACGAUCCCUAGCUGGUCUGAGAGGAGGACCAGCAAAACUGGAACGGAGACACGGUCCAGACUCCUACGGGAGGAAGCAGUGGGGAAUAUUGCAAAAUGGGCGCAAGCCUGAUGCAGCCAUGCCGCGUGUAUGAAGAAGGCCUUCGGGUUGUAAAGUACUUUCAGCGGGGAGGCGUUACCCGCAGAAGAAGCACCGGCUAACUCCGUGCCAGCAGCCGCGGUAAUAC